rnacentral:rRNA from 1 species
GACGAAGGAUGCAAGCGUUAUCCGGAUUCAUUGGGUUUAAAGGGUGCGUAGGCGGACUUGUAAGUCAGUGGUGAAAUCUCUCAGCUUAACUGAGAAACUGCCAUUGAUACUGCAGGUCUAGAGUAUAGAUGACGUUGGCGGAAUAUGACAUGUAGUGGUGAAAUACUUAGAUAUGUCAUAGAACACCGAUUGCGAAGGCAGCUAACGAAACUAUAACUGACGCUGAGGCACGAAAGUGCGGGGAUCAAACAGGAUUAGAUACCCUGGUAGUCCGCACCGUAAACGAUGAUUACUCGUUGUUGGCGAUAUGACAGUCAGCGACCAAGCGAAAGCGAUAAGUAAUCCACCUGGGGAGUACGCCGGCAACGGUGAA